UCCCUGGUGGCUCAGUCGGUAAAGAGUCUGCCUGCAAUGCAGGAGCCCUGAGUUCCAUCCUUGGUCAGGGAA
rnacentral:tRNA from 1 species